rnacentral:rRNA from 1 species
AUUGAACGCUGGCGGAAUGCUUUACACAUGCAAGUCGAACGGCAGCACGGGGGCAACCCUGGUGGCGAGUGGCGAACGGGUGAGUAAUACAUCGGAACGUGCCCAGUCGUGGGGGAUAACGUAGCGAAAGGCUACGCUAAUACCGCAUACGAACUCUGGUUGAAAGCGGGGGACUCGCAAGAGCCUCGCGCGAUUGGAGCGGCCGAUGGCAGAUUAGGUAGUUGGUGGGGUAAAGGCUCACCAAGCCGACGAUCUGUAGCUGGUCUGAGAGGACGACCAGCCACACUGGGACUGAGACACGGCCCAGACUCCUACGGGAGGCAGCAGUGGGGAAUAUUGCACAAAUGGGCGAAAGCCUGAUGCAGCGACGCCGCGUGAGGGAUGACUGCC